AGUUUACAUCUGUGGAACAUAUGUCAGAUGUAAUAAGCUAUAUGGAGUAGGGUUUUCAUCUGGUUUCAAUAUCCACAGAAGUGAAAAAUACAUAGACACAACUUUUUACAUCUGGUCAUAAUAUAACCAGAAGCAAAGCUGAAUGCGGUGGCAAUCCUGUAAUUAUGGUGAGAAUUGUGUAACUCGCAGUACUAUCAUGAUCUCACUCAUCUCUCUCACGCACUGCUCACUCGAUUUCUCUCACUUCUCACUCGAACCCUAGCGGCCUUAUCUCUCUCACGAUCGAUCUCGUCUUCUCUCUCACUAAUCUCACUCGAACUCGGCGGCGUCAUCUCUCUCACCGACCUCACGUACUCGCUCAUCUUUGUCGUCUCUCUGUCUCACUGAAACACGAAUUGAUGGCUGAAUCGGAAAUUCCAAAACCCAGUGAAACAUGAAUUGAAGGUUGAAGCACUCAUAUCUGUCUUCUCUCUCGUUUCAUCUUCUCUAGCCCUAAACCCAGAGAAAAGAAAGCAUACAAGAGUUUUCGCACACGAAGAAAGCUACCUGAGUAUGCAAUUCUUCUUGAACAAAUCUGGUGGAAGCUUUUAGAUUUUGUUGAACUAAAGCAGCUCGAUACCUUUCUUUGACAUUGAGAAACAUGAAACUACGAUUUUGCGUUGGUCUAUAGCUAGGACAAUAGCUACUAAGGACCAGUUGCAGCAAACAGAAGUGGAUUGUGCGUAUUUGAAUAGAUGUUGUGAGAUACUGACAGAAGAGACUAAGAGUUUACAUAAAGAACUUCAAAUUUGGAGCAGUUUCUCUCGGGUUCAUUUUGUUAUUGUACUAGUAAGCAUUCUGCUUAGUUGAAUGAUUGAAGAAGGGAUCCAGACUAUGAGAAACAAUUGGGAUAUUGAUGGAAGCAAUUUGUUGGAUAUCUAUGCAGGUAUGUAGUGUAGGUUCUGAUAUUCAAAAAAAAAAGAUGUAGUGCAGAUUCUGGCCACAACCUAUCAUAUAAACAUGAUCCAAUUAUGUAUUGUAUGUUUUGUUAUUAAAAUUAUUUUAGCCUCUGAUGUGACUUUUAUUUUUGUUGGACUGCUUUGAUAUCCAUGUGUGAUGUCUUUCCAUCUGCUGACCGUGAUAAUUUUUGCUCUCGGACAACGCUUUGGUGGUGGUCCUCUUGAUCUAAUCUCCGGAUUCACCGUCAUCAUCAAUGUUAGUCCAUUAGUAUAGAGAAGUAUAGUUAAAAAUAACAUGAUCCAGUCAUUGACUAAGCAUCUCUUCAACAAGGUUUGUCUUCUAAGUUUACUCUGGUAUAAUCAGCCACCAUGACUCUUUUUUUCAGGAUUUUUAAACCUUGUUGAAGGAGAAAGACAAAUUCAAACCUGGAUGUUUUCAAGAAGGAGAAAGACAAAUUCAAACCUGGAUCUAAGGUAGAAGAAAGUUAAGGGUUGUUUAAGAACAAGUGGAGUGGCAGCAAAAGCUGCGUUUCUGUUACUGAACAGCUCGUCUAGCGAGAAGCAUCAUCGCCUAGCGAGGACAGCAGCGUGCUCUGCCUGUGUGUGUUGUUCUUUCCCCUAUCCAACCAUUCUUGAUCAUAGCUUCACAUUGAGUAGGGUACUGUGCUCCCCCCCCCCAAAAAAAAAGAGACUGCAGCUAUUUAGGAGCGAGGCCGGGUUUCUCUCUUAUUUGACGUUGUACAUUGUUUAGCUUAAGUUUUGGUAAGUUGCUAUAUAGGAGCUCUUAGAUCUUGCGAACUGUCUUGAUUUUGAUGACAAUAUUAGUGAUGCAAUUUAGGAAAGGGAUGUAUAGUAUGGUGCUAUUGUACAUAUGUGAUUUGAAUUUAAUAAGUAUUAGGCUUUGGCAUUUUAGUGUGGUGAACUAUCUUGAUUUAGGAAGGGAUCUAGGUAUGUGUGAAGUUAUUGUAUGGUGAAUUGUUUUGAUAUUAAUUUUGGAUGUUGAAUGGUACAUAUUAGCAUUGUUAA